rfam:Triticum urartu cultivar G1812 contig344417, whole genome shotgun sequence.
AUGCUACUCCCUCCGUUCGGAAUUACUUGUCUCGAAAAUGGAUGUAUCUAGAACUAAAAUACGUCUAGAUACAUCCAUUUCUUCGACAAGUAAUUCCGAACGGAGGGAGCAGCAG